CGCGUGGGAACGUACCUUUUGGUUCGGAACAACACAGGGAAACUUGUGCUAAUACCGGAUAAGCCCUUACGGGGAAAGAUUUAUCGCCGAAAGAUCGGCCCGCGUCUGAUUAGCUAGUUGGUGAGGUAACGGCUCACCAAGGCGACGAUCAGUAGCUGGUCUGAGAGGAUGAUCAGCCACAUUGGGACUGAGACACGGCCCAAACUCCUACGGGAGGCAGCAGUGGGGAAUAUUGGACAAUGGGCGCAAGCCUGAUCCAGCCAUGCCGCGUGAGUGAUGAAGGCCCUAGGGUUGUAAAGC
rnacentral:rRNA from 1 species